rnacentral:rRNA from 1 species
CAGCAGCCGCGGUAAUACAGAGGAUACAAGCGUUAUCCGGAAUGAUUGGGCGUAAAGCGUCUGUAGGUGGCUUUUCAAGUCCGCCGUCGAAUCCCAGGGCUCAACCCUGGACAGGCGGUGGAAACUACCAAGCUGGAGUACGGUAGGGGCAGAGGGAAUUUCCAGUGGAGCGGUGAAAUGCGUUGAGAUCGAAAAGAACACCAACAGCGAAAGCACUCUGCUGGGACGACACUGACACUAAGAGACGAAAGCUAGGGGAGCAAAUGGGAUUAGAUACCCCCGUAGUCCCUGUCUCUUAUAC